AAUAGAUGAUUGUGCAUAUUAAUUUUAUUUUUCUUUUGAGUUAUAAUUUUCCACCAACCAGCAAGUGUAAAUGAAUUUUCUUUAAUUGAUUAGAAGAAUACGUUUUAAUCUGCAAUUAUACUUAGUUGUGAAUACCUGUUAAUUUCAGGAAGUGAUAGCAGUGUACCCGAAGUUGUCAACCUCAACGGUAUCUAUUAAGGAGUUAACUCGAGUGUGUAAUGCCCUUGCUUUGUUUCAGUGUAUGGGAAAUCACCAAGAAACAAGAAGGGAGCUCAUAAAAGCUAAAAUACCAUUUUAUUUUUACCCAUUUCUCAAGACCAAUGGAAAAAAUGGAAAUGACAAGCCUUUGGAGUUUAUCAGGCUCACCAGCUUGGGUGUUAUCGGUUCCCUAACAAAGUUUGAUGAUCCAUACGGUGGUGAGAUCCUUUAUUUUUUCCUGGAAACAGAACUGGUUCCUUUGUGCCUGCAUUGCAUGGAUCUAGGUGAUGAAUUGUCGCGUUGCAACACUCAUAGUUAUGAAGAUUUUGAUGCAAGAGGAAGGACUAAGCUAUUGCUGUGCUUGAACGGUUUUACUCAAUAGUACAGGUCUUGCAUCGAGUAGUACAGAAACUUUCUCAAAAACCCUGUAUACUGCUGCUAAGAUAUGUGAUACAAUCUUAUCUGUGUCUUUCACAAGUAUCAAGGUUCGUCGGGCCAUCUGAUGCAUUCAGAAGCCAAAUUCCUUGUCAGCUAUUUGACAACACCUUUAUGGACAUGCUUCGUCAGGAUGACCCCGAAACUUCAACGAUGUUGCAGCAGCUAUAUGUCCAUAUAAUGCGCUGAUCAAGACAGUAAUAAGAUUGUAAACAUGGAUACAACAAUUCAAUAGACUAGGGAAGAACUGAACUUGUUCUAAAGGAACUUCUUAGAUUCCAAAUGAGGGAUAAAAUGUUUUUGAGUUAACAAUUCAACAGGAAAUGCUUCUUGCAUAA